rnacentral:rRNA from 1 species
GACGAACGCUGGCGGCGUGCUUAACACAUGCAAGUCGAACGGAGUGGCGAACGGGUGAGUAACACGUGGGUGACCUGCCCUGCACCUCGGGAUAAGCCUGGGAAACUGGGUCUAAUACCGGAUAGUGUGGGAUGGGGCCGCGGCCUAUCAGCUUGUUGGUGGGGUAAUGGCCUACCAAGGCGGCGACGGGUAGCCGGCCUGAGGGGGUGGACGGCCACAUUGGGACUGAGGCACGGCCCAGACGCCUACGGGAGGCAGCGGUGGGGAAUAUUGCACAAUGAGCGGAAGCCUGAUACAGCGACGCCGCGUGGGGGAUGACGGCCUUCGAGUUGUAAACUCCUUUCACCAUCGACGCGGUAGAUGGAGAGAAAGCACCGGCUAACUACGUGCCAGCAGCCGCGGUAAUUC